GAUCAUGGCUCAGGACGAACGCUGGCGGCGUGCUUAACACAUGCAAGUCGAACGGAGCACCCCUUGACGGAGUUUUCGGACAACUGAUAGGAAUGCUUAGUGGCGGACUGUGAGUAACGCGUGAGGAACCUGCCUUUCAGAGGGGGACAACAGUUGGAAACGACUGCUAAUACCGCAUGACGCAUGACUGGGGCAUCCCGGACAUGCCAAAGAUUUUAUCGCUGAAAGAUGG
rnacentral:rRNA from 1 species